rnacentral:rRNA from 1 species
GAUUGUUGAUCCUGGCUCAGAAUGAACGUGGGCGGCGUGGAUUAGGCAUGCAAGUCGAGCGAUCGUAGCAAUACGGGAGCGGCAAACGGGGUAGGAAUACCUCGGAACAUACCCUUAGGUCGGGGAUAGCGGCGGGAAACUGCCGGUAAUACCCGAUGAUCUCGAGAGAGCAAAGGUUUACUGCCUAGGGAGUGGCCGAGGCGAUAUUAGCUAGUUGGUGAGGUAAUGGCUCACCAAGGCUUCGAUGUCUAGGGGGCGUGAGAGCGCGACCCCCACCACUGGGACUGAGAAACUGCCCAGACACCUACGGGUGGCUGCAGUCGAGAAUCUUCGUCAAUGGGGGAAACCCUGAACGAGCGACGCCGCGUGUGGGAUGAAGGCCUUUGGGUUGUAAACCACUGUCAGGGGGGAUGAAACCGCAAGGUUGACAGAGCCCCAGAGGAAGCACGGGCUAAGUUCGUGCCAGCAGCCGCGGUAAUACGAACUGUGCGAACGUUAUUCGGAAUCACUGGGCUUACAGGGUGCGUAGGUGGCCGGACAAGUCAGGUGUGAAAUCCCUCAGCUCAACUGAGGAACUGCGCUUGAAACUGUUUGGCUAGAGUGAGCUAGGGGUGCUUGGAACUGCCAGUGGAGCGGUGAAAUGUGUUGAUAUUGGCAGGAACACCGGAGCCGAAAGGGAAGCACUGGGGCUUAACUGACACUGAGGCACGAAAGCCAGGGGAGCAAACGGGAUUAGAUACCCCGGUAGUCCUGGCCGUAAACUAUGAGAACUGGGCGGGGGAGUGCUUGCACAUCCCGGCCGUAGCGAAAGCGUUAAGUCUCCGCCUGGGA